rnacentral:misc_RNA from 1 species
AAGGCGACGAACCGCUGGCGCCUGCGGCGGGCAUUCGUGCGGUGGCCGCGUUGCUGGCGGCGAGCGAGGCGCCGAUGGCGACGCUUGCCACGCCGAUCCUCAGCCGGGAAGAGCAUGGCGACCCGGCCUGCGUGAAGGUGGUUCGCGACCGCGCCGGGCAUGCCCUGUACUUCUCGCGCGCAGCGGUUCCCUGGCCGCGCGAGGGUUACGAUCGGGUCGAGGGCGCAUCAGGGGACACGCCCUUGUUGCGCCACAUCGGCAUCUACGCGUAUCGCGCGUCCUUCCUGCGUGACUACACGGCGCUGCCGCCAGGCCGUCUCGAACGGAUCGAGGCGCUCGAACAGUUGCGCGUGCUGGAAGCGGGGUACCGCAUCUCGGUCGGAUUGACGCCGGAAACGUUUCCCGGCGGUGUCGAUACCCCGGCCGACCUGGCGCGCGUCGACGCGCUGAUUCGGGCGCGGGCAAUCGACGGCACGGCGAUGGCGUAGCGGGUCGCGAUCAACGCGCCACGGGGAGCGCCGAUGUUCUGGGCGUGCGUGGAAGCGGGCAUAAUCCACCGGCUGCCCCCGGGUCCCCGGUGGCCGGCUGUCGGCUUCACGGCCGACCGCCAGAUCCAGGAGAACGUACGCGCAUGAAUGCCAAGGUCCGCGCCCCGGAAUUUCCGCAGGGAAUGACGUGGGUGAAUCUGGACGAGCCCGCCACCCUCGCCAGUCUGCGUGGGCGCGUGGUGGCGCUGCACUUCUGGCACCACAGCAAUAUCCACGCGCAUCACAUGUUGCGCGACCUGCGCACGCUGGAGAACCGCUACCACGACGGCUUCAGCGUGCUCGGCAUCCACACCC